AGAGUUUGAUCCUGGCUCAGGAUGAACGCUGGCGGUAUGCUUAACACAUGCAAGUCGAACGAAUCCCUUCGGGGAUUAGUGGCGGACGGGUGAGUAACGCGUGAGAAUUUACCAAAAAGGACCGGGACAACCACUGGAAACGGUGGCUAAUACCGGAUGAGCCGAAAAGUAAAAAGGGAAACCUGCCUUUUGAAGAGCUCGCGUCUGAUUAGCUAGUUGGUGAGGUAAGAGCUCACCAAGGCAGCGAUCAGUAGCUGGUCUGAGAGGAUGACCAGCCACACUGGGACUGAGACACGGCCCAGACUCCUACGGGAGGCAGCAGUGGGGAAUUUUCCGCAAUGGGCGAAAGCCUGACGGAGCAAUACCGCGUGAGGGAAGAAGGCUCUUGGGUCGUAAACCUCUUUUAUCAGGGAAGAAAAAAAUGACGGUACCUGAAGAAUCAGCCUCGGCUAACUCCGUGCCAGCAGCCGCGGUAAUACGGAGGAGGCAAGCGUUAUCCGGAAUUAUUGGGCGUAAAGCGUCCGCAGGUGGCUUAUCAAGUCUGCUGUCAAAGAGUGGGGCUUAACCCCAUUAAGGCAGUGGAAACUGAGAAGCUAGAGUGCCGUAGGGGUAGAGGGAAUUCCCGGUGUAGCGGUGAAAUGCGUAGAGAUCGGGAAGAACAUCGGUGGCGAAAGCGCUCUACUGGACGGCAACUGACACUCAGGGACGAAAGCUAGGGGAGCGAAUGGGAUUAGAUACCCUAGUAGUCC
rnacentral:rRNA from 1 species